UGCCAGCACCCCGAGUGGUCGGGACGAUUAUUGGGCCUAAAGCAUCCGUAGCCGGUUCUACAAGUCUUCCGUUAAAUCCACCUGCUUAACAGAUGGGCUGCGGAGGAUACUAUGGAGCUAGGAGGCGGGAGAGGCAAGCGGUACUUAGUGGGUAGGGGUAAAAUCCGUUGAUCCAUUGAAGACCACCAGUGGCGAAGGCGGCUUGCCAGAACGCACUCGACGGUGAGGGAUGAAAGCUGGGGGAGCAAACCGG
rnacentral:rRNA from 1 species